rnacentral:rRNA from 1 species
UACAGAGGGGGCAAGCGUUAUUCGGAAUUAUUGGGCGUAAAGAGCUCGUAGGCGGUUCAGUAAGUCGGGUGUGAAAACUUUGGGCUUAACCCAAAGCGUGCAUCUGAUACUGCUGUGACUUGAGUUCGGUAGGGGAGUGGGGAAUUCCUAGUGUAGCGGUGAAAUGCGCAGAUAUUAGGAGGAACACCGGUGGCGAAGGCGCCACUCUGGGCCGAAACUGACGCUGAGGAGCGAAAGCAUGGGUAGCAAACAGG